rnacentral:rRNA from 1 species
UACAGAGGGUGCGAGCGUUAAUCGGAAUUAUUGGGCGUAAAGGGCUUGUAGGUGGUUGAUUAAGUUAGAUGUGAAAACCCUGGGCUCAACCUGGGACGUGCAUUUAAUACUGGUCGACUAGAGUAGUGCAGAGGAGAGGGGAAUUCCUGGUGUAGCAGUGAAAUGCGUAGAGAUCAGGAGGAACAUCGGUGGCGAAGGCGCCUCUCUGGGUACAUACUGACACUGAAAAGCGAAGGCGUGGGGAUCAAAC